rnacentral:rRNA from 1 species
UACAGAGGUGGCAAGCGUUGUUCGGAAUUACUGGGCGUAAAGGGCGCGUAGGCGGCCGCCUAAGUCAGACGUGAAAUCCCAAGGCUCAACCUUGGAACUGCGUCCGAUACUGGUGGGCUCGAAUCCGGGAGAGGGAUGUGGAAUUCCAGGUGUAGCGGUGAAAUGCGUAGAUAUCUGGAGGAACACCGGUGGCGAAGGCGGCAUCCUGGACCGGUAUUGACGCUGAUGCGCGAAAGCCAGGGGAGCAAACGGG